GGCGCGCGGGCGGGGCCCCUGACUCCUGCGCCUCCUGUUUCGGGGCUUGUUGGAGAGGUACCCUGUGCUUCAGCCAGCCUGUCUACUCACUUCCCUGAAUGCUCCUACGUGAUUUCCUGCUUCUUCACCUUUGCUUAUGCUAUUCUCUCUGCCUGGAAUGCUACCCCUGACUCAUCUGCAGCUGGUAUAGUGGAGAGCUUGGGCUUUGGAGUCAGAGAGACCUGGGUUCGGAUCGUGGCUUCACAACUUAAGUGUGUGACUUUGGACAAGUACCUUGAACAAGUGUUUAACGUCUUUGAACCUCAGUUUUAUAAUCUGUAAAAAUGGAAAUAAUGACACCUACCUUGCAGGGUUGUUGUAAGGAUUAAAUGAAAUUAUGUAUACAAAGCAAUGGACAUAUAGUUAAUAAAAAGAUAGAUCGCUGUUAUUUCUA